rnacentral:pre_miRNA from 1 species
AAAGUACUCCCUCCGUCCCAAAAUUCUUGUGUUAGAUUUGUCUAGAUACGGAUGUAUCAUGUCACAUUUUAGUAUUAGAUACAUCCGUAUCUAGACAAAUCUAAGACAAGAAAUUUGGGAUAGAGGGAGUAGUUG